rnacentral:rRNA from 1 species
UCCCAGCUGUAAACGAUGCAGGCUAGGUGUUGGGACGGCUACGGGCCGUCUCAGUGCCGCAGGGUAACCAUUAAGCCUGCCACCUGGGAAGUACGGCCGCAAGGCUGAAACUUAAAGGAAUUGGCGGGGGAGCACCACAAGGGGUGAAGCUUGCGGUUUAAUUGGAGUCAACACCGGGAACCUUACCAGGAGCGACAGUUGGAUGAAGGUCAGAUUGAAGGUCUUACCGGACUAGCUGAGAGGAGGUGCAUGGCCGUCGCCAGUUCGUGCCGUGAGGUGUCCUCUUAAGUGAGACAA